AUUGAACGCUGGCGGAAUGCUUUACACAUGCAAGUCGAGCGGCAGCACGGGGGCAACCCUGGUGGCGAGCGGCGAACGUGUGAGUAAUACAUCGGAACAUGCCCAGUCGUGGGGGAUAACACUUCGAAAGAAGUGCUAAUACCGCAUACGUCCUGAGGGGGAAAGCGGGGGAUCGCAAGACCUCGCGCGAUUGGAGUGGCCGAUGUCAGAUUAGCUAGUUGGUGGGGUAAAGGCCUACCAAGGCAACGAUCUGUAGCUGGUCUGAGAGGAUGAUCAGCCACACUGGGACUGAGACACGGCCCAGACUCCUACGGGAGGCAGCAGUGGGGAAUUUUGGACAAUGGGGGCAACCCUGAUCCAGCCAUUCCGCGUGAGUGAAGAAGGCCUUCGGGUUGUAAAGCUCUUUCGGCAGGAACGAAACGGUGAGCUCUAACAUAGCUUGCUAAUGACGGUACCUGAAGAAGAAGCACCGGCUAACUACGUG
rnacentral:rRNA from 1 species